rnacentral:tRNA from 2 species
GCUGCUCGUCGGCGAGGUCGGCCAGGGCCGGCUCGAGACCGGUCCGCAGGGGCUGACCGGUCGGAUUCGGUUCGCCUUCGAGGGGCAGCAC